AGCGAAAGCGAGUCCGAUAAGGGCGUGAGUCGCGUGUUCUAGACCCGAAGCGGAGUGAUCUACCCAUGGCCAGGAUGAAGCGACGGUAAGACGUCGUGGAGGUCCGAACCCACUUCAGUUGAAAAUGGAGGGGAUGAGUUGUGGAUAGGGGUGAAAGGCCAAUCAAACACCGUGAUAGCUGGUUCUCCCCGAAAUGCAUUUAGGUGCAGCGUUGCGUGGUUCUUGUUGGAGGUAGAGCACUGGAUGGUCUAGGGGGCUUAUCGGCUUACCGAAAUCAGCCAAACUCCGAAUGCUGGCAAGUGUAGCGUGGCAGUGAGACGGCGGGGGAUAAGCUUCGUCGUCGAGAGGGAAACAGCCCAGAUCAUCAGCUAAGGCCCCUAAGUGGUGACUCAGUGGGAAAGGAUGUGGAGUUGCGUAGACAACCAGGAGGUUGGCUUGGAAGCAGCCAUCCUUGAAAGAGUGCGUAAUAGCUCACUGGUCAAGUGAUUCCGCGCCGAUAAUGUAGCGGGGCUUAAGUUAUCCGCCGAAGCUGUGGCAACCUGUGUGGUUGGGUAGGGGAGCGUCGUGUCAGUGGUGAAGCUGCCGGGUGACUGUGUGGUGGAGUUGAUGCGAGUGAGAAUGCAGGCAUGAGUAGCGUGUGACGGGUGGGAAUCCCGUCCGCCGAUUAUCCAAGGGUUCCAGGGUCAAGUUUGUCUGCCCUGGGUGAGUCGGGUCCUAAGGCGAGGCCGACAGGCGUAGUCGAUGGGUAACCAGUUGAUAUUCUGGUACCGGCUUGUCACCGUCCGUGUCGAGGUGUGUGAUGCUAAGCAUGUGAGCUUGUCUUGGGAGUGUUUUUGAUGCUUCUGGGGUGGGUGAGUGUGUGAACCGAUCAUGUAGUAGGCAAGCUGCGGAGGGACGCAGUGAGGUAGCUCAUCCCCGGUGAUGGUUGUCCGGGGCUAAGUGUGUGGACUGUCUGGUAGGUAAAUCCGCUGGGCGUGAAGGUUGAGGCAUGAUGGGGAGCCCAUGGUUGUGGGUGAGUGAGUGAUCCUGUACUGUCGAGAAAAGCUUCGUGAGCGAGGUGGCGGGUCCGCCCGUACCCUAAACCGACACUGGUGGAUAGGUAGAGUAUACCGAGGCGAUCGAGUGAAUCGUGGUGAAGGAACUCGGCAAAAUGCCCCCGUAACUUUGGGAUAAGGGGGACCUGAGCUGUCGUGCACCCGUGCGGUGUGGUGGCGGUGAGGGGCGCAGAGUCCAGGGGGAAACGACUGUUUACCAAAAACACAGGUCCGUGCGAAGUCGUAAGACGAUGUAUACGGACUGACUCCUGCCCGGUGCUGGAAGGUUAAGGGGAACUGUGAGUGUAUGCGUAGCGGUGAACUUAAGCCCCAGUAAACGGCGGUGGUAACUAUAACCAUCCUAAGGUAGCGAAAUUCCUUGUCGGGUAAGUUCCGACCUGCACGAAUGGAGUAACGAUUUCCCUACUGUCUCCACCAUGAACUCGGUGAAAUUGCAUUACGAGUAAAGAUGCUCGUUACGCGCAGCAGGACGGAAAGACCCCGGGACCUUUACUAUAGUUUGGUAUUGGUGAUUGGGACGGUUUGUGUAGGAUAGGUGGGAGACGUUGAUGCGGCCACGCUAGUGGUGGUGGAGUCGUUGGUGAAAUACCACUCUGAUUGUUCUGGUUAUCUCACUGUGGACCGUGAUCCGGUUCAAGGACAGUGCCUGAUGGGUAGUUUGACUGGGGCGGUCGCCUCCUAAAGGGUAACGGAGGCGCCCAAAGGUUCCCUCAGCCUGGUUGGUAAUCAGGUGGUGAGUGUAAGUGCACAAGGGGGC
rnacentral:rRNA from 1 species